UAAAGUCACAUAUGUUUGGAAUGACAUGAGGGUUAGUAAAAGAUGACAAUUUAAAUUUUGAGGUGAACUAUCUCUUUUAAGUUGAGAAUAUUAAAUUUGUUGUUGUUUUUUUUAAUGUAGAUAAACCAUUAACCUGUUAUUCUCAUAUAAAAAAUGAAUUGGUACAUCAUCAAACGGGUUCAGCUGUCUGCUUCAUUCAGAUCAUUCAGACACUUCUAAUGACAGUAAACAACACAAACCCCCCAAAACACUCAUUUAAAAUAAUAAUUAAAAAUCUUCAAAAUAAUUAAAUAUUUUACAAUAAUUGCAAAAAUUAAUUACAAUUUACAUACAAAAUUUAACACAAUCCCACACUUCCUUUUAGACUGUGUAAUGUCAUAGAGCUCUUCAUUCCAAUUGAAGCCUCACUACAUUUACUUUUUAGCGUUUUAGUCAGCUGUAUAAUCCUUACAGUUAAUUUGCUUCUAAAUUCUAAUGUUAAUUUGAAUUAUAACUUAGUAAAAUGUUAAGUUGUGGUGAUUUCUUAGAACCUUGGGAACAUAAUUGACUAUGACUGUCUCCUAGGUUCCAAACAAAAAGUCUUAAGAUUUUGUCCUAAUGAUAGAAAGAAACAGAGAACAUAAAUGAUUAGAUGGCUGUAGAAAAUCAUAGAACUGAUCAUUUAGCUUUGCAGUAAACCUUGUUGAUUAUAGACAGUCUCAACCAGAGGCUUAUUGUGUUAAAUUUCUUAGUUUAAAUUAUGAUGGGUUUCCAAAAGAUAUGACUGCAUAAGGUUGUUUUACUUUUCUUUUUUUUUUUUUUUUCACUUCAUAGGACUGUUAGAAUUUCCUCUUUAACACUGAUAUUGUUAAUACUGGUAUACAUGUGGUCACUUUAUAAAGAUAACAACAAACAAGAAUUUUCUAUACAAACAUAGAUUUCUGGUUAUGAACAUAUAGAAUUUACAUUUAGAAAGGUAUUUAAAAAAUGGAUGGUCUAUUCAAAUUUCACAGUACAAUUAAAGAAACAUUGGUUUUUAUUUUAUGUUUUGCCUGUAUGGCUGUUGGCAUGUCUCAUUUUAAAGGCUGCACCCUCUAAAAGCCGCAUUUAUCAGCCACAUACAUCAUUCAGGCUGCCUCAUUUCAGAAAAGUAUCCAUUACAUUCCAAAUUAAAAGAGACAUUACAAUAAUUCAUGCCUCACGGGGAAUAAGAGUUAAUUUUAUAAUUACUUUUCUGAACUGAGACAUCCUUGAUGACGUAGGUGGCUGACAAAUGCGACCUCAUGAGGGCGCAGCCUUUAAAAUGAGACAGCUUUCAUCGUGAGUACAGAUGUGACGCACAUAGUUUGACCAAAAUCUGUUCUCUGCAAAAAGGUUUGGGCACUGGCUAACAUUAAAAUCCAUUUGCAUUAACACAUUUAACUGAAACGGUUGUGAUAAUUCAUUUCAAUAACAUUUUACUACUUUUUCAGUUACACGUUGUCAGAAUAACAUGUAAGUGAUGAUAAUAAUAAGCAGCUGUCUCAGUCUCUAAUGUUUCAUCCUGUAUCUUUACCACAGUUCAGACUGACUUGCUUGUCUUCAGAUGCUUUGGAAUGGGCCCGGUAACUUGGUAACCGUAGGUCUCCAUGGUAACAUUCAAGCCUGUCCUCUGGCCUCGUUUACAUAAUCUCUUUGUGUAGUUCAGGCACUGUUCCCUUCCCACUUUUCCAAGUAAUGAAAAGAGCAUAUUAAGUCUGACAGUCCAAAACAUUAGCUCAUUGUUCCUGGUUGUAGCUUAGUUCUCUGCACAAGCUACCACAUGAUGACUAUAAGCUAUUUUAGGCCUCACAAUAGGCUUUCUACCCUAUGAUCUUACUAGGAAUGAAUGAAUGUUAAUUGGAAUUUCAAGGUAAAUGCACUGAAUGCAGUCAGACUUUGCUCUGCAUAGAGUUAAUUCAGAGCGUAUACUUUUACUGUUAUGUAUGACAGUCAUUCCCAGUGGGCAAUUGAUGUUGAAAAGACAUCAAAUUGACAUUAAAAAAAAAAAAACGGUCGAAUAUGCAAAUCAAUCCGAUAUCAAAACUUGACAUGACACUGGUUUGAUGUAAAUUGAACAUUAAACAUAUUGGCCUACAUAUACAUUAAAUCAAUUUCAGUGUGGGAUUAACUUCCUAUUUUUACCCAAUUACCACUGGAAGAAAUAUACUGUCCAAACUGAAUUUAAAAUGAUGUUCCAGCAUCUUGAUCAAGUCUUGAGGAAUGUUUGACGUCAAACUGAUAUCAAGGAUAUCAUAGUUAUAGAGACUGAUGACUGUGUUCAAUCUCAAAAAAUCUGUUUACAGCCGUCAGCUAUUGAUGUUAUAGUUGACCUAUAUGCUAUCUGUUAUCACCUGAUUUUAACACCAACAGCCACUAUAGUGAGAAUAUAAUAUAUGCUAUUUUUUUUAACCAACGUUCUGUUUUGAAUCUGUUUCAGGUGGACAGAUCUGAGUAUCUGCUGAGUAAUGAAUGCACAGUUGUCUUCAGAUGAAACUAAGAUGAACAUCAGUGUUGCACUGUGGGCAUCUAUUCAUCAGUAAAUUAAACAUGAAAAUAGUGCAGUAUCUCCUCUUGGCAAACAUUUCUGUAAGUACCAGCUCAUUUUUAAGCUAAGCAGUAAUUUUUUCUUAAUAUUUUAGAAUUAAGUAGGUUUAUAUUAAUACUAAUGGAUGCUUAUGGUUUCUCGUAAUACAAUGUGUAUUUUUGUAUUUGACGAAUGUCUUGGAAUAAUGCAUUAGAAAUGUAAAUAUAAUGCUUACCAUUGUUGUGUGCUACAUGCAGUGUUCUUAAUAAAGAUAUCUGUUACACCA